rnacentral:rRNA from 1 species
GACGAACGCUGGCGGCGUGCUUAACACAUGCAAGUCGAACGAUGAAGCCGGGGCUUGCUCUGGUGAAUUAGUGGCGAACGGGUGAGUAACACGUGAGUAACCUGCCCUUGACUCUGGGAUAACUGCUAGAAAUGGUAGCUAAUACCGGAUACGACCCUCGGAGGCAUCUCCAGGGGGUGGAAAGAAUUUCGGUCAAGGAUGGACUCGCGGCCUAUCAGCCAGUUGGUGAGGUAACGGCUCACCAAGGCGACGACGGGUAGCCGGCCUGAGAGGGUGACCGGCCACACUGGGACUGAGACACGGCCCAGACUCCUACGGGAGGCAGCAGUGGGGAAUAUUGCACAAUGGGCGCAAGCCUGAUGCAGCAACGCCGCGUGAGGGAUGACGGCCUUCGGGUUGUAAACCUCUUUUAGUAGGGAAGAAGCGAAAGUGACGGUACCUGCAGAAAAAGCACCGGCUAACUACGUGCCAGCCGCCGCGGUAA